rnacentral:rRNA from 1 species
GACGAACGCUGGCGGCGUGCUUAACACAUGCAAGUCGAACGGAAAGGCCCUGCUUUUGUGGGGUGCUCGAGUGGCGAACGGGUGAGUAACACGUGAGUAACCUGCCCUUGACUUUGGGAUAACUUCAGGAAACUGGGGCUAAUACCGGAUAGGAGCUCCUGCUGCAUGGUGGGGGUUGGAAAGUUUCGGCGGUUGGGGAUGGACUCGCGGCUUAUCAGCUUGUUGGUUGGGUAGUGGCUUACCAAGGCUUUGACGGGUAGCCGGCCUGAGAGGGUGACCGGCGACAUGAGGACUGAGAUACGGCGCAGACUCCAACGGGAGGCAGCAGUGGGGAAUAUUGCACAAUGGGCGGAAGCCUGAUGCAGCAACGCCGCGUGCGGGAUGACGGCCUUCGGGUUGUAAACCGCUUUCGCCUGUGACGAAGCGUGAGUGACGGUAAUGGGUAAAGAAGCACCGGCUAACUACGUG